rnacentral:lncRNA from 1 species
GUGUUUGUUGCCGCCACCAGCGUCGAUCGGUUUUUCUUCUGGUGCUUGAACAAGGGCAUCAACGAUCGUGUGUCAGUUCACCGAAUUGUCUGCUCUUCCACGCCUAAUGCUUGUUAACCAGUUCAUGGCUGCUCCACUGUUUCUUCUAACACUGCUUUAGAUCAUCGUGUUAGGGUUUGAACGGUAACAAACGUGAACAGGGUGACAUUUCACAAACUUUGGUGCUUUGUUGAAUCUAAGAAAAUGUAUAGAGUGGAAUCUUUUGAAACUACAUAAUGAAAAUGGUGUUUAUCAGAAAAAUUCAGCAAAAAUGUCUAUAUUUUGAGCGUGCAGUUUUAUUAAAUUUCAUGGAACAGUUUCAUGGAACAGAAAAUUAAAUUUAGUUCGCUGUAGUAACCAUU